UCAGUUGGCUCCGUGUCUCUCUCUCUGCGUCGGGCGCUCGCCGCGCGUUCGCUGGGCGCGGGCCCCCACUAGCCUGCCGCUGCCGACACAACACUCUGCACUGGCGUGCUACGAAGCUGUGCCGUGGCCUUGGCAACGCAUCGCUUGAUAAGCCGCACCGAUCUCCCGCGCCGCCGCGUGCACCAGCCGUUGCCGCUCUCCGCAGCUGGGUCGCCGCCUGACCACGUGACUCGAUGCGCGCAUGGCUAAGAGGAGCGCCGCGUUCGCCGAGUCAGUGCGAGCCUGGCCAUGAACAAGAGCGAGGACGGUCUUCUUUGAGCGUUGCGUGGGAGAGCGGGAGGCUUUGAGCCGUCGUCGGCAAGCGGCGUCUGACCAUCCCCCAGAUAUGGCCCAGCGAGCUGCUUCACUGGAGAGAAGCGUCUCAGGUCGGCUGCUCGAAACCGGAUGUCACGCGAGGUCAAGGAGCUACUCCCUGCACCUACAUAGGUGCUAAAGUAGCUAGGGAAUAAUUCCUCGGGAAUGACUGCCAUGUGCCCAGUCCCUUUGGGCCUAGAAGCAUCCACUGGCCGAACAGGAGCUGCACGUUGCGCGCACUACCGCCGACCCACGAAAGACUGCGACAUCAAGGCCUUGAUCCUUCAGCUGCAGCGCGACGUGGGCCCUGCCAUUUCACUUUCAAGAUACUUAAGCUGCUUCGACCCUGAAAAUGCUGACGCAAAUGGUGCAUCUGAACAGCCAAUGGAUACCAUGCCCAUCAGGCUGCCUUUAUUGAACAAAAUUAAACAGCACAACGGAAUCAGUCAACCACGUGGGGCACCUCUGACAGCAUAUGUGGUGGGUUGCGAUGGACUGAAUGAUUUCAUCAGCAUUUUCACUGGCUGUAAAGCUGUGAAUCUCUUUGUAUGAUGCACGUGUGGAAAAGAAAGCCAAAACUUGUGCUUACUUGCUUAAAAUAUUCAGGCAUGUCCCAAUGCCAGCAUGUGUGCCCAAAUGCAGGCAUUUGCUAAUCUGAUCCCCACUAUCUCCUCCGGUAAGAGUGUGAUAAAUGCACUGCAGCCACCCUUUGGAAAAAUAUCACACGGCAAUUAUUUCAAGGUAAUUAGUUCUCCCAUGUAGGAUAAAUAUGGGAUAAAUUAGCAGUACUCUUGGGCAAUAAUCUGCCACGUUGACAUGGUGGAGAGCAUUAAUCCCGCUAGGUAACAUCACUUUUGAUAUUUGCAAACAACCUUCUUGCAGCUUGACUUCAUGUAUGAUAUCUUUCAUGCACUGUCAGUGUUCAGAAUAAAAGCAUUUGACCGCUGCAAA